AAACCCGACAUGCCACGCCGUCUGGUGGAUGGCUCGGCUUGAACGCCGACGAAGGGCGCGACAAGCCGCGAUAGGCCCCGGGUAGGCGCAUGUAGCCUUCGAUCCGGGGAUUCCCGAAUGGGACCUCCCACCGUGAAAGCUUUAGGCUUUUCACGGUGCUCCCCAAUUGGGAGCGGGAACCCCCCGAACGGAAACAUCUUAGUAGGGGGAGGAAAAGAAACCAAAACGGGAUUCCCUGAGUAGCGGCGAGCGAAAGGGGAAGAGUCCAAACCGAACACCAUGAGGACAACUCAUGGUGGAUGUGGUGUUGUGGACCCGGUCGCCUCCUCGCCAGCGAAGCCGAAGUGGCCUGGAACGGCCCGCCAUAGAGGGUGAAAGCCCCGUAGGCGUAAGCUGGAAGGAGCUGGACCGGGACUCCAGAGUACCGUACCCUGACUUGGGUGCGGGAAUCUGGGAGCCACCAACUUCCAAGACUAAAUACGUUUCAAGACCGAUAGCGCACUAGUACGG
rnacentral:ncRNA from 1 species